AGUCUCUAAGUCUCAUGGUUCAAAAGUUAUGGCGAAGGUUAAAGUUGACAACAGACAAACAAACAGACAGACAUACAGCUAAACAGACAAACAGGACAAAAACAAUAUGCGCCCCCAAAAAAUUUGGGUGCAUAAAAACUGUCUUGGAGUUAACAGCAGUUCUCUGUUUCUCCUGAAUGUUAUGUACAAUUUGAUCGGGAUCGGAAGAAUGUUUCAAAAAGUCGGGCUCAGUGAUCAAUUAAUUUAAACAACAGACCGCCAAAAUUUAACCUUGGCCUCCAUGUUGCAACGUCUGCUCUGUCUAAAGGAAGAAGUUUGUUGACCAGACAGCCUGAGAUCGUAUUGCUGUAUCAACCAAAAGAUGCAGAUACACGUAUUUCAUAUGCGCGUCUGUGCAUGAGGAGGAGAUUUCUGAAAAAGAAUAAGUGCUUAUUCAACUUACUGCGAUUUUAACGGGCUUAAAGCUUGGUCCAUGGAUGGUUAUGUUUGAGGAUUUGACAAUUCGACUGCAAGUGCUGCUGCAAGAAAUUAAACAUGCAGAGACCUUACAAAUUACAAAGAAGUCUGAAGAAAAUUUUUAUUGGACAGAUGGGUGUAAAGCACAGACCUGAGAUAUAAAUUGAAUUGUGAGAAAUAUGAAUCAGGGAUGCAGGUAGAAAAUGGCAAAUGUGAUCCAGAUUGAUAAAA